AUUGAACGCUGGCGGCAGGCUUGACACAUGCAAGUCGAGCGGGGGAAGGUAGCUUGCUACCGGACCUAGCGGCGGACGGGUGAGUAAUGCUUAGGAAUCUGCCUAUUAGUGGGGGACAACAUCUCGAAAGGGAUGCUAAUACCGCAUACGUCCUACGGGAGAAAGCAGGGGAUCUUCGGACCUUGCGCUAAUAGAUGAGCCUAAGUCGGAUUAGCUAGUUGGUGGGGUAAAGGCCUACCAAGGCGACGAUCUGUAGCGGGUCUGAGAGGAUGAUCCGCCACACUGGGACUGAGACACGGCUCAGACUCCUACGGGAGGAAGCAGUGGGGAAUAUUGGACAAUGGGGGGAACCCUGAUCCAGCCAUGCCGCGUGUGUGAAGAAGGCCUUAUGGUUGUAAAGCACUUUAAGCGAGGAGGAGGCUACUCUAGUUAAUACCUAGGGAUAGUGGACGUUACUCGCAGAAUAAGCACCGGCUAACUCUGUGCCAGCCGCCGCCGUAA
rnacentral:rRNA from 1 species